GAUGGCGGCGGAUGAACGCCUUCUCCAAAUCCACAAACACACGUGGACAGGGUGUGCAAACUCCCUCGAACCCUCCAGCUCCCUGAAGUGGGUGUAGGGCACCCGCACAGUUGUUCCUGGAUCCUGGAUUCGACUAUCAGACAGACUCUCCCUGCCAUUGACUUUCCCUGGGAGGCUGAGGAGUGUGAUUCCCUGGUAGUUGUACCACACCUUCCGGUCCCCCUUCUUGAAAAGGGGAACCACUACCCAGUCCAGUGGUACAGUUCCUGACUGCCACGUGAUGCUGCAGAGACGUGUCAGCCAAGACACUCCCGCAGAACUCAGAGACUUGAGGGCGGACAUCAUCCACUCCCGGACCCCUGCCACAGAGGAACUCAUUGACCACCUCAGUGACUUCAGCUUUGGGUGAUGGACAGCCCCGUCCCCAAAGUCCUCAGCCUCUGUUUCCUGAAGAGAAGGCAUUUCAAUGGGAUUGAGGAGAUCCAUGAAGUAUUCCUUCCACUGCCAAACAGUCAACAGCUCCCCACCUGCACUGAACUUUUGAGUUGAAAACUGAUUUGAAAUGUUCUCUUUUUUUUCAAAUUUACUUUCAGUUUUUUAUUCACUUUAAGCUGAUCCGGAUUUGACCUCAUACUCAAACAGGUAGCUAAUAGGAAUUCUUCUACAUGGUCUAGUAGUUGUUUUCAUGCAGCAGAACUGGUCUUUUUUUCACAAAACUUCUUCAAAGGUAUGACUUUAAAAGACAAAGAAAAAUGUGGCCUUGUGUUGUCAAAUCCUGAGAACAGCUCAGGUUUUCUGGUGUUUUGCAUUUAUCAACCGACCUUCAAAGUAAUGGACUAAACACAAGGAUUCAUGGAUGCCUGCAUACUAAUUUAUGUGUUUCUUGCUCACAGCCCAUUGUCACUACCCUGCCAAAGAAGAGUGGGGGGGCCGGAGUCUCGUAAAUCAAAGCGUCGCGUGAUGGAGACGCAGGCCUGUCCACCUCCUGUUCCUGCCAACUCCAUUGAGCUACUGCCAUGUUGCCAUGGCUACAUGGGAGGGGCCAACCUUUACAACUCCAGGAUAUCAGAGGAAGACCUCAACGGAAGCCCUUCUCCGAAGCGGAUGUACGCUCUGUACCACACCGCUUACAGUGGAAAUACUGCACUUCCCACCAACUUCCAUCACUACAACAGUUUGGAGGACAACUGCCGUUUACCCCCCUCCUGUUUGUCCUACCCCCUCAACUCCGAUGGCAACCACCACCACCACCACCAGCAGCAGCAGCAGCAGCACUACCACAGCCACCAACACCAGCCGGGGCAGAAGCCUCUGGAGCCCCUCAUUUUACGGGACCCGCCUCCUUGUCAGGCUGGUGCGGGUGGAGCAGGAGGAGGUGGAGUUGGGAUGGGACUGGAAGGAGGGGAUGGGACUGUUGGCAGAAGCUGGGGAGGGGGGGAGGCGGUGAGGAUCUUGGCAAAACGCAUCACACCAGAUGGGAAGGUACAGUACCUGGUGGAAUGGGAGAACAUGAGUUUGUACUGA
rnacentral:lncRNA from 1 species